rnacentral:rRNA from 1 species
CCCUUAGAUGUUCUGGGCCGCACGCGCGCUACGCUGAUGAAUUCAACGAGCCUAGCCUUGUCCGAAAGGUCCGGGUAAUCUCUGAAACUUCAUCGUGAUGGGGAUAGAUCAUUGCAAUUAUUGAUCUUCAACGAGGAAUUCCUAGUAAGCGCAAGUCAUCAGCUUGCGUUGAUUACGUCCCUGCCCUUUGUACACACCGCCCGUCGCUUGUACCGAUUGGAUGGUCCGGUGAAAUCUUCGGAUAGCUGGUAGUUGGCUUGCCAUCUACUGCUAAAAGUUGCUUAAACCUUAUCAUCUAGAGGAACAAGAAGUCGUAACA